rnacentral:rRNA from 1 species
GCCAGCAGCUACAUCACCCUGCAGCUCACAACUGGCAGCCCACUGAAGCUCAGCAGGUGUGAGCCUGGCCAGUAGCUGGCUGGGAGACCUCCUGGAAAAACCAAGGUUACUGCUGGAA